rnacentral:rRNA from 1 species
AGCAGCCGCGGUAAUUCCAGCUCCAAUAGCGUAUAUUAAAGUUGUUGCAGUUAAAAAGCUCGUAGUUGAAUUUCGGGGUUAGUAGGUUGGUCGUGCCAAUGGUAUGCACUGGCCUCACUGAUUCCUCCUUCUUGAUGAACCUUAAUGCCAUUAAUUUGGUGUUUUGGGGAAUCUGGACUGUUACUUUGAAAAAAUUAGAGUGUUUAAAGCAAGCUAACGCUUGAAUACAUUAGCAUGGAAUAAUGAAAUAGGACGUUCGGUCUUAUUUUGUUGGUUUCUAAGAUUGACGUAAUGAUUAAUAGGGAUAGUUGGGGGCAUUAGUAUUCAAUUGUCAGAGGUGAAAUUCUUGGAUUUAUUGAAGACUAACUACUGCGAAAGCAUUUGCCAAGGAUGUUUUCAUUAAUCAAGAACGAAAGUUAGGGGAUCGAAGACGAUCAGAUACCGUCGUAGUCUUAACCAUAAACUAUGCCGACUAGGGAUCGGAUGAUGUUAAUUUUUUAAUGACUCA